UACAGAAGUUGGUUCCAUUAAAACCAAUCUGAAUAUAGAAGUUAGUUCGAUUAAAAACCAAUCUGAAUAUAGAAGUUAGUUACAUUAAAAACCAAUCUGAA